AUGGGUGUGACACAUGCAUCAACAUUUUGUUUCUUUUUGUUGCUCGGUGUUUACAUUUCCUUUACUGGUUUAUCAGUUCCUCACCUGAUGAGCGUGUUCUUGGGCUUUGUGGGUCUCCUCGUGCCCUGGUUCAUCCCUAAGGGUCCUAAUCGGGGAGUCAUCACCAUGCCGGUGACUUGUUUGGUUUGCUGCUAUCUCUUUUGGCUGAUUGCAAUUCUGGCCCAGCUCAACCCUCUCUUUGGAUCACAAUUGAAGAAUGAAACCAUCUGGUACCUGAAGUACCAUUGGCCUUGA